UAGAGUUUGAUCCUGGCUCAGGAUGAACGCUGGCGGCGUGCCUAAUACAUGCAAGUCGAACGAACUUCCGUUAAUUGAUUAUGACGUACUUGUACUGAUUGAGAUUUUAACACGAAGUGAGUGGCGAACGGGUGAGUAACACGUGGGUAACCUGCCCAGAAGUAGGGGAUAACACCUGGAAACAGAUGCUAAUACCGUAUAACAGAGAAAACCGCAUGGUUUUCUUUUAAAAGAUGGCUCUGCUAUCACUUCUGGAUGGACCCGCGGCGUAUUAGCUAGUUGGUGAGGUAAAGGCUCACCAAGGCAGUGAUACGUAGCCGACCUGAGAGGGUAAUCGGCCACAUUGGGACUGAGACACGGCCCAGACUCCUACGGGAGGCAGCAGUAGGGAAUCUUCCACAAUGGACGCAAGUCUGAUGGAGCAACGCCGCGUGAGUGAAGAAGGGUUUCGGCUCGUAAAGCUCUGUUGUUAAAGAAGAACGUGGGUAAGAGUAACUGUUUACCCAGUGACGGUAUUUAACCAGAAAGCCACGGCUAACUACGUGCCAGCAGCCGCGGUAAUACSGUAGGUGGCAAGCGUUAUCCGGAUUUAUUGGGCGUAAAGCGAGCGCAGGCGGUCUUUUAAGUCUAAUGUGAAAGCCUUCGGCUCAACCGAAGAAGUGCAUUGGAGACUGGGAGACUUGAGUGCAGAAGAGGACAGUGGAACUCCAUGUGUAGCGGUGAAAUGCGUAGAUAUAUGGAAGAACACCAGUGGCGAAGGCGGCUGUCUGGUCUGCAACUGACGCUGAGGCUCGAAAGCAUGGGUAGCGAACAGGAUUAGAUACCCUGGUAGUCCAUGCCGUAAACGAUGAUUACU
rnacentral:rRNA from 1 species